UAGUCCACGCCGUAAACGAUGUCUACUAGCCGUAGGGUUCCUUGAGGACUUUGUGGCGCAGCUAACGCACUAAGUAGACCGCCUGGGGAGUACGGCCGCAAGGUUAAAACUCAAAUGAAUUGACGGGGGCCCGCACAAGCGGUGGAGCAUGUGGUUUAAUUCGAUGCAACGCGAAGAACCUUACCAGGUCUUGACAUACAGUGAACUUAGCAGAGAUGCUUUGGUGCCUUCGGGAACACUGAUACAGGUGCUGCAUGGCUGUCGUCAGCUCGUGUCGUGAGAUGUUGGGUUAAGUCCCGUAACGAGCGCAACCCUUGUCUUUAGUUGCCAUCAUUUAGUUGGGCACUCUAGAGAAACUGCCGGUGACAAACCGGAGGAAGGUAAGGAUGACGUCAAGUCAGCAUGCCCCUUACGCUCUGGGCUACACACGUGCUACAAAUGGUCGUGACAAAGAGUUGCUAGUCUGCGAAGGCAAAGCCAAAUCUCAUAAAACGCGGCCUUAGUUCGG
rnacentral:rRNA from 1 species